rnacentral:rRNA from 1 species
GACGAACGCUGGCGGCGUGCUUAACACAUGCAAGUCGAACGGUAAGGCCCUUCGGGGUACACGAGUGGCGAACGGGUGAGUAACACGUGGGGGAUCUGCCCUGCACUCUGGGAUAAGCCUGGGAAACUGGGUCUAAUACCGGAUAUGAGCUCCUGACGCAUGGCGGGGGUUGGAAAGGUUUACUGGUGCAGGAUGGGCCCGCGGACGAUCAGCUUGUUGGUGGGGUAAUGGCCUACCAAGGCGACGACGGGUAGCCGGCCUGAGAGGGCGACCGGCCACACUGGGACUGAGACACGGCCCAGACUCCUACGGGAGGCAGCAGUGGGGAAUAUUGCACAAUGGGCGAAAGCCUGAUGCAGCGACGCCGCGUGAGGGAUGACGGCCUUCGGGUUGUAAACCUCUUUCAGCAGGGACGAAGCGAGAGUGACGGUACCUGCAGAAGAAGCACCGGCCAACUACGUGCCAGCCGCCGCCGUAA